GACGAACGCUGGCGGCGUGCCUAAUACAUGCAAGUAGAACGCUGAAGGAGGAGCUUGCUUCUCUGGAUGAGUUGCGAACGGGUGAGUAACGCGUAGGUAACCUGCCUGGUAGCGGGGGAUAACUAUUGGAAACGAUAGCUAAUACCGCAUAAGAGUAGAUGUUGCAUGACAUUUGCUUAAAAGGUGCAAUUGCAUCACUACCAGAUGGACCUGCGUUGUAUUAGCUAGUUGGUGGGGUAACGGCUCACCAAGGCGACGAUACAUAGCCGACCUGAGAGGGUGAUCGGCCAAACUGGGACUGAGACACGGCCCAGACUCCUACGGGAGGCAGCAGUAGGGAAUCUUCGGCAAUGGACGGAAGUCUGACCGAGCAACGCCGCGUGAGUGAAGAAGGGUUUCGGAUCGGAAAGCUCUGUUGUAAGGGAAGAACGAGUGUGGGAGUGGAAAGUUCACACUGUGACGGUAUCUUACCAGAAAGGGACGGCUAACUACGUG
rnacentral:rRNA from 1 species